CCUACGGGUGGCAGCAGUGGGGAAUAUUGGACAAUGGGCGAAAGCCUGAUCCAGCCAUGCCGCGUGUGUGAAGAAGGCCUUCGGGUUGUAAAGCACUUUCAGUGGGGAAGAAAGCCUUGGGGCUAAUACCCUCGAGGAAGGACAUCACCCACAGAAGAAGCACCGGCUAACUCCGUGCCAGCAGCCGCGGUAAUACGGAGGGUGCGAGCGUUAAUCGGAAUUACUGGGCGUAAAGCGCGCGUAGGCGGUCUGAUAAGCCGGUUGUGAAAGCCCCGGGCUCAACCUGGGAACGGCAUCCGGAACUGUCAGGCUAGAGUGCGGGAGAGGAAGGUAGAAUUCCCGGUGUAGCGGUGAAAUGCGUAGAGAUCGGGAGGAAUACCGGUGGCGAAGGCAGCCUUCUGGACUGACACUGACGCUGAGGUGCGAAAGCGUGGGUAGCAAACAGGAUUAGAUACCCCAGUAGUC
rnacentral:rRNA from 1 species